rnacentral:rRNA from 1 species
UACCCGCAGCACAAGUGGUGGUCAUUAUUAUUGGGCCUAAAGCGUCCGUAGCUGGCUUGUUAGAUGCCUGGGUAAAUCGAUGCGCUCAACGCAUCGAACUCCGGGUAGACCGGCAAACUUGGGACCGGGAGAGGCGUGAGCUACUCGAGGGGUAGGGGUAAAAUCCUGUAAUCCUUCGGGGAGGACCAGUGGCGAAGGCGUCACGCUAGAACGGCUCCGACAGUGAGGGACGAAGCCCUGGGGCGCAAACCGG